CUCCGUGACUCCUACGGGAGGCAGCAGUGGGGAAUAUUGCACAAUGGGCGCAAGCCUGAUGCAGCCAUGCCGCGUGUAUGAAGAAGGCCUUCGGGUUGUAAAGUACUUUCAGCAGUGAGGAAGGUGGUAGUGUUAAUAGCACUAUCAUUUGACGUUAGCUGCAGAAGAAGCACCGGCUAACUCCGUGCCAGCAGCCGCGGUAAUACGGAGGGUGCGAGCGUUAAUCGGAAUUACUGGGCGUAAAGCGCAUGCAGGUGGUUUGUUAAGUCAGAUGUGAAAGCCCGGGGCUCAACCUCGGAAUUGCAUUUGAAACUGGCAGACUAGAGUACUGUAGAGGGGGUAGAAUUUCAGGUGUAGCGGUGAAAUGCGUAGAGAUCUGAAGGAAUACCGGUGGCGAAGGCGGCCCCCUGGACAGAUACUGACACUCAGAUGCGAAAGCGUGGGGAGCAAACAGGAUUAGAUACCCUUGUAA
rnacentral:rRNA from 1 species